rnacentral:rRNA from 1 species
AUGUGGGUCGAGAUACUGUGCGGCCUGGUGGCCUACAAGCUCAUCCGCGCCGUCUUCUUCUCCGACGACGGCCUCGACCAGCUCGCCGGCCUCGACUCCUCCCACUCCGAUCUCUGCUUCGCCGUCGCAGCCAGGCUCGAGAGGCUCUACGGCGGCCGCUGCUUCGUCGGCCUCCGCAUCCCCGACCCCGACGCCGGUGCGCGCCAGCAUGUCGACGUCGUUCUCGUCACCAAGAGGGAGGUCAUGGUGGUGGCAAUCAACAAUGUCUCUGGUUUUGUUGAGGUUGACAAGGAUGGUAACUGGUUCACUGAAAAGAAGCGCAAGCAGGAGGUUAUUCGAAACCCGGUACUAGAAGUCAGUAGGAUAGCUGCCAAUCUUCAAUCAUACUUGGAGCAGAGGGGAGCAACACUGCCUAACGGGAUUGUAAAUGGAAGAGUUGUACUGCCAAAUCCCAACUGCAGGCCUUCGUACACUAUUAAUCUUCAACCGGAGGUUAUCUCGUACGAUCAAUGGAAAGAUCUUAAGGCAGACACAAAAGGUGGACUUUCGACAUGGAUUAAAGGUGCAUUUCAUGGAAACAAAAGCGACAUCCAAGAUUCAUUACUCCAAAAUCUGUAUUCUAUUCUCAGCACGUCGCCUAUGUGGGACAGGUUGGAACUCAGAGGGGACAAAAAUGUCCUUGGUGAAUUCAUGGAAUUUAAAGGCAAGCAUGAAGACAUGCCACUCCUGAAAAAAGUGAAGAGAUCAAAAGUUAGCCGGUUUGUCAUCCAGAAAUCAACUCUUUUUGGAGGUUUUGGCAGGUCGCGAGUCCAAAUACUGUAUUCUCCUCGAGAUUACCGAGCUGAGGGCACUUCAUCUUCAGAAUGGAAAGAGAUCUCCGUGAAGCAGUACACCGAGAUUCAUUUCCAGCCGUUGCACUCCAAAAAAGUCCGGAAAUUCAAGCUGUCGAGUGUUGCUUCCGUGACACUGAGCGCCUAG